GCGCGGUUAGUUCAUCGGUAGAAUGAAACCUUCCCAAGGUUUAGAGUCGGGUUCAAUUCCCGAACUGCGCA
rnacentral:tRNA from 1 species